CCUACGGGUGGCAGCAGUGGGGAAUAUUGGGCAAUGGGCGCAAGCCUGACCCAGCAACGCCGCGUGAAGGAAGAAGGCUGUCGGGUUGUAGACUUCUUUUCUCAGGGACGAAGCAAGUGACGGUAGCUGAGGAAUAAGCCACGGAUAACUACGUGCAAGCAGGCGCGGUAAUACGUAGGUGGCAAGCGUUAUCCGGAUUUACUGGGUGUAAAGGGCGUGUAGGCGGGACUGCAAGGCAGAUGUGAAAACCACGGGCUCAACCUGUGGCCUGCAUUUGAAACUGUAGUUCUUGAGUACUGGAGAGGCAGACGGAAUUCCUAGUGUAGCGGUGAAAUGCGUAGAUAUUAGGAGGAACACCAGUGGCGAAGGCGGUCUGCUGGACAGCAACUGACGCUGAGGCGCGAAAGCGUGGGGAGCAAACAGGAUUAGAUACCCUUGUAGUC
rnacentral:rRNA from 1 species